CUACGGGGCGCAGCAGUGAGGAAUAUUGCACAAUGGAGGAAACUCUGAUGCAGCAACGCCGCGUGGAGGAUGACACUUUUCGGAGCGUAAACUCCUUUUAUAUAGGAAGAAGAUGACGGUACUAUAUGAAUAAGCGCCGGCUAACUCCGUGCCAGCAGCCGCGGUAAUACGGAGGGCGCAAGCGUUACUCGGAAUCACUGGGCGUAAAGAGCGUGUAGGCGGAUUAAAAAGUCAGGAGUGAAAUCCUAUAGCUUAACUAUAGAACUGCUUCUGAAACUCUUAAUCUAGAAUAUGGGAGAGGUAGAUGGAAUUUCUGGUGUAGGGGUAAAAUCCGUAGAGAUCAGAAGGAAUACCGAUUGCGAAGGCGAUCUACUAGAACAUUAUUGACGCUGAGACGCGAAAGCGUGGGGAGCAAACAGGAUUAGAUACCCGAGUAGUC
rnacentral:rRNA from 1 species